rnacentral:rRNA from 1 species
UACGUAGGGCGCAAGCGUUAUCCGGAAUUAUUGGGCGUAAAGAGCUCGUAGGCGGUUUGUCGCGUCUGCCGUGAAAGUCCGGGGCUCAACUCCGGAUCUGCGGUGGGUACGGGCAGACUAGAGUGAUGUAGGGGAGACUGGAAUUCCUGGUGUAGCGGUGAAAUGCGUAGAUAUCUGGAGGAAUACCGGUGGCGAAGGCGGCAUCCUGGACCGACAUUGACGCUGAAGCGCGAAAGCUAGGGGAGCAAACGGG